AACGUAGGUCCCGAGCGUUAUCCGGAUUUACUGGGCGUAAAGCGUGUUCAGGCGGUCUAGCAAGUCGGGCGUGAAAUCUCUCGGCUCAACCGGGAGGGGUUGUCCGAUACUGCUGGGCUUGAGGGCAGCAGAGGGUGGUGGAAUUCCGGGUGUAGUGGUGAAAUGCGUAGAUAUCCGGAGGAACACCAGUGGCGAAGGCGGCCACCUGGGCUGUACCUGACGCUCAAACACGAAAGCUAGGGGAGCGAACGGG
rnacentral:rRNA from 1 species